GGCCUUUUGAUUAUGAUUUAAGGUCUUGCCUGCCCAAUGAUGUUAAAGUUAAAUGGCCGCAGUACUCUGACUGUGCAAAGGUAGCAUAAUCAUUAGUUUUUUAAUUGGAAGCUUGUAUGAAAGGUUUGAUGAGAAAAGAGCUGUCUCUAUCUAAAAUUUUAGAAAUUUAUUUUUAAGUUAAAAAGCUUAAAUUUUUAUUGAAGACGAGAAGACCCUAUAGAGUUUUAUUUAUAUAAUAAUAAACAGCAUUUAGUAUUUAAAAUUUUAUUAUUAUAUAAAUUUAGUUGGGGAGAUUGAAAAAUUUGUUAAACUUUUUUUUUAUUUUUACAUUUAUUUGUGAGUAUUUGAUCCUUUAAUAGAUUAUAAGAUGAAAUUACCUUAGGGAUAACAGCGUAAUUUUUUUUAGAGUUCUUAUCGAAAAAAAAGAUUGCGACCUCGAUGUUGGAUUAAAAUUUAAUUUUUGGUGUAGAAGCUAAAAAAUUAGGUCUGUUCGACCUUUAAAUUUUUACAUGAUCUGAGUUUAAACCGGCGUAA
rnacentral:rRNA from 1 species